rnacentral:rRNA from 1 species
ACGUAGGGUGCGAGCGUUAAUCGGAAUUACUGGGCGUAAAGCGUGCGCAGGCGGUGAUGCAAGACAGAUGUGAAAUCCCCGGGCUUAACCUGGGAACUGCGUUUGUGACUGCGAGACUAGAGUCCGGUAGAGGGGGGUGGAAUUCCAGGUGUAGCGGUGAAAUGCGUAGAGAUGUGGAGGAACACCGAUGGCGAAGGCAGCCCCCUGGGUAGAGACUGACGCUCAUGCACGAAAGCGUGGGGAGCAAACAG